GAUGAACGCUGGCGGCGUGCCUAAUACAUGCAAGUCGAGCGAACGGACGAGAAGCUUGCUUCUCUGAUGUUAGUGGCGGACGGGUGAGUAACACGUGGAUAACCUACCUAUAAGACUGGGAUAACUUCGGGAAACCGGAGCUAAUACCGGAUAAUUUUUUGAACCGCAUGGUUCAAAAGUGAAAGACGGUCUUGCUGUCACUUAUAGAUGGAUCCGCGCUGCAUUAGCUAGUUGGUAAGGUAACGGCUUACCAAGGCAACGAUGCAUAGCCGACCUGAGAGGGUGAUCGGCCACACUGGAACUGAGACACGGUCCAGACUCCUACGGGAGGCAGCAGUAGGGAAUCUUCCGCAAUGGGCGAAAGCCUGACGGAGCAACGCCGCGUGAGUGAUGAAGGUCUUCGGAUCGUAAAACUCUGUUAUUAGGGAAGAACAUAUGUGUAAGUAACUGUGCACAUCUUGACGGUACCUAAUCAGAAAGCCACGGCUAACUACGUG
rnacentral:rRNA from 1 species